UUGAGUCAUAGGGAGGAAGAAGUCUGCCACCCAUGACUCAAGAUCCACCAUGCCAGUGAAAUAGGCCAACAGAUCGCUCAGUAAUACCAGGAAUGAGCACCAGUGGGAUCAACAGUUGAUCUGCCACCUGUCUUCAGGAGAGAGAGAUAAGUAAGACAAUGGAGCAGCAUUUGGAAAUGUUAAUGAAGAGACGAGAGAGUUUAAUGGAAGGAGACACCGGUCUGAGUAUUGUCAAGACCGGCUCCUUUUGAACCCUGAACUGUUUGAAGUGUGAUGGACAGGCGAUACCCCAGCAGGGGGAUAAAAAGGGGCAGGUUCGCUAAGACAUGACACACGACACCACGAGGUAACGAGACCCUGGAAGCGGUGCGCCCCCACAAGUCGGUGGGAGUUUUGGAGGUCUGGUUGCGGGACCAGCCAUAGA